AUGCGCAUGUGCACGAACACACACACACACACACACACAAAGACACACACAGAUACAGACACAGACACACACAAAGACACACACAUACACAUACACAGACACACACACACAACACACACACAGAGACACCCACACACAGACACACACAGACACACACAUACAGACACAGACACAGACACACACACACACAGACACACACACACACACACAGAUACAGACACAUACACACAGACACACAGAGAGACACACAAACACACACAGAGACACCCACACACAGAGACACACAAAGACACACACAAAGACACACACACAGACACACACACACUCAGACACACACAAAGACACACACACACAGAGACACACACACACAGACACACACACACACAGACACACACACAUAAACACACACACAGAAACACCCACACACAGAGACACACACACACAGACACACACAGGCACACAGAUACAAACAUACACACACAAAGACACACACAGAGACACACACACACAGAGACACACACAGGCACACAGAUACAAACAUACACACACAAAGACACACACAGACACACACACAGAGACACACACAUAGACACACACACACAGAGACACACACAGGCACACAGAGACAAACAUACACACACAGAGACACACACAGAGACACACACACAGAGACACACACAGAGACACACACACAGGCACACAGAGACAAACAUACACACACACAGACACACACACACAGAGACACACAGACACACACACACACACACACAGAAACACACACACAGAUACACACACAGACACACACACAGACGCACACACACAGACACACACACACACAGACAGACACACACAAAAACACACACAUACAGACACAUACAGAUACAGACACAGACACACACACACAGAGACACACACACACACAUACACAGACACACACACACAGGCACACAGACACAAACAUACACACACAGAAACACACAGAGACACACACACACAAAGACACACACAGACACACACACACAGACACAGAUGUACACAUACACAGAUACAUAUGUACACAUACACAGACACAAACACACACACAGAGACACACAAACACAGACACACAAACACAGACACACACACACAACACAGGGAGAAUGCCUUCACUCCUGGCCUUUUACAGCGUGA
rnacentral:lncRNA from 1 species